rnacentral:rRNA from 1 species
AGUGAACGCUGGCGGUAGGCCUAACACAUGCAAGUCGAACGGCAGCACAGUAAGAGCUUGCUCUUACGGGUGGCGAGUGGCGGACGGGUGAGGAAUACAUCGGAAUCUACUUUUUCGUGGGGGAUAACGUAGGGAAACUUACGCUAAUACCGCAUACGACCUACGGGUGAAAGCAGGGGAUCUUCGGACCUUGCGCGAUUGAAUGAGCCGAUGUCGGAUUAGCUAGUUGGCGGGGUAAAGGCCCACCAAGGCGACGAUCCGUAGCUGGUCUGAGAGGAUGAUCAGCCACACUGGAACUGAGACACGGUCCAGGCUCCUACGGGAGGCAGCAGUGGGGAAUAUUGGACAAUGGGCGCAAGCCUGAUCCAGCCAUACCGCGUGGGUGAAGAAGGCCUUCGGGUUGUAAAGCCCUUUUGUUGGGAGAGAAAAGCAGCAGGUUAAUACCCCGCUGUUCUGACGGUACCCAAAGAAUAAGCACCGGCUAACUUCGCG